rnacentral:rRNA from 1 species
UUUGUGGGGUGCUCGAGUGGCGAACGGGUGAGUAACACGUGAGUAACCUGCCCUUGACUUUGGGAUAACUUCAGGAAACUGGGGCUAAUACCGGAUAGGAGCUCCUGCUGCAUGGUGGGGGUUGGAAAGUUUCGGCGGUUGGGGAUGGACUCGCGGCUUAUCAGCUUGUUGGUGGGGUAGUGGCUUACCAAGGCUUGACGGGUAGCCGGCCUGAGAGGGUGACCGGCCACAUUGGGACUGAGAUACGGCCCAG